rnacentral:rRNA from 1 species
ANAGGNCAGCCUGCCCAGUGACACACUUUAACGGCCGCAGUACCCUGACUGUGCAAAGGUAGCAUAAUCACUUGUCUUAUAAUUUGAAGACUAGAAUGAACGGACUUAUGAAAGCAUCACUGUCUCAUUAAUAAUUUAUAGAAAUUAAUUUAGUGGUACAAAAGCCACUAUGCAAUUAAUAGACGAGAAGACCCUAUUGAGCUUUAUUUAUAUUCUACUCCACAAUAAAAAUAGUAGAAAAAAAUUUUGUUGGGGCGACAAAGGAACAACAAUAACCUCCUCUGACUUACUAUAUUAAAAUUUAACCGAUCCACUCCUAGUGACCAAAUAACUAGUUACCAUAGGGAUAACAGCAUAAUUCUUUUUCAGAGCUCUAAUCGAAAAAAGAGUUUGUGACCUCGAUGUUGGACUAAGGUAACUAACAAGCGCAGUAGCUUCUUAUUAUAGUCUGUUCGACUAAUAA